rnacentral:sRNA from 1 species
GCCAGGUGCAGUGGCACACUCCUGUAAUCCCAGUGGCUUGGGGGCUGAGACAGGAGGAUCGCAAGUUUAAAGGCAAUCUCAGCAACAGUGAGGUGCUAAGCAACUCAGUGAGACCCUGUCUCUA